ACGGAAGGCAGCAGUGGGGAAUAUUGGACAAUGGGGGAAACCCUGAUCCAGCGACGCCGCGUGAGUGAAGAAGUAUUUCGGUAUGUAAAGCUCUAUCAGCAAGGAAGAAAAUGACGGUACUUGACUAAGAAGCCCCGGCUAACUACGUGCCAGCAGCCGCGGUAACACGUAGGGGGCAAGCGUUAUCCGGAUUUACUGGGUGUAAAGGGAGCGUAGACGGCAUAGCAAGUCUGAAGUGAAAUGCAUGGGCUCAACCCAUGAACUGCUUUGGAAACUGUUAAGCUAGAGUGCAGGAGAGGUAAGUGGAAUUCCUAGUGUAGCGGUGAAAUGCGUAGAUAUUAGGAGGAACACCAGUGGCGAAGGCGGCUUACUGGACUGUAACUGACGUUGAGGCUCGAAAGCGUGGGGAGCAAACAGGAUUAGAUACCCUGGUA
rnacentral:rRNA from 1 species